rnacentral:lncRNA from 1 species
GUUCUAUUAUUAGAAAAUUAGAAAUGUCUUCCUCUGUAGUCUGUAGAAGUAUUAAAAAAAAAAAAAAGCAAAUACGAACUUAGUUAAUACUACCAACGUAAUACAUACUUCAACCAACAUAAAUUCCAAAAUACUUAAAAUACAUACUUCAACCAACAUAAAUUCCAAAAUACUUAAAAUACAUACUUCAACCAACAUAAAUUCCAAAAUACUUAAAAUACAUAUGACUGCAAAUUAAAGGACAAUUAUUCAUAUGGGUGUUAUUGGAGUGUGGUUAUCCCCGGUUUAGUUUAAUUUAUCUUGGUUAUGUUAACCGAGAUUGUAUAGCUUUAGUAUACUUGUAUAAAUACUCUGUACAGAUACAUUUUACAAUCUAAUGAGAAAUAAAUAUUCAUAACAAAUUUUCUCAUCUUCUUCUCUCUCAAGUAAUAUGGUAUCAGAGCCAUCAAGCUCGAAUCUCCAUUGAUUUCGAUUUGAUUUCUUCGUUUUUGAGCUCAAAACUCAUCAUCUACAAUGGUGACAGCUCGUGUUAUUCGGAAAUCCACUCGAUCGAAGUCUGGAACAAGCUCAGCUACUCGGAAAACGUCGCGAUCGUCUGAUGUUGUUGAAUCUCCUCCGCCUACUCCUCCAGUUGCUAAAUCUCGAGCUUCUAGAGCUUCGCGCACCGUCGCAACAUCGGAAUACUCAGAUCAGGCGUAUUCUCUUUUCUUCCUUCACAGUGCCGAUCAUCCAGGUUUGGUUUUAGUCGCGAUUCGUUUAGAUGGAACUAACUAUGAUGAUUGGGAUGAUGCGAUGCGUAUUGCUUUAGAUUCAAAAGGGAAAAUAGGAUUUAUAGAUGGAUCCUUAGCUCGUCCUGAUGAAUCGGAUGCAAAUUUUCCUAUCUGGUCUAGAUGCAACAGUAUGAUAAAGUCUUUGCUCUUGAAUUCGGUUUCUCCACAGAUCUAUCGCAGUAUCUUGAGAUUGAAGGAUGCUUGUGAUAUUUGGCGUGAUCUGUAUAGCCGAUUUCAUAUGAGUAAUCUUCCAAGAACUUUUAAUCUCACACAAGAGAUUCAAGAUCUUCGUCAAGGAUCUAUGACUUUGAUGGAGUACUAUACGACUUUGAAGACUUUAUAGAGCAAUUUGGAGAACAGUGAAGAACUUGAUGAACCUUGUACCUGUGGUAAAGCUGCUCGUCUGCAAUUGAAGGCAGAGAGAGCUAAAAUUGUUAAGUUUCUUGCAGGACUUAAUGAUUCCUAUGCUAUCAUCAGGAGGCAGAUUAUCAUGAAGAAGGUUCUCCCUAGCCUUGCUGAAGUCUAUAAUAUUCUUGAUCAGGAUGAUAGUCAGAAAGGAUUUUCAACUCUGGCUGUUACUCCUGCUGCUUUUCAAGUCUCAGAAGUUGAGAUUUCCUCUGGACAAGAUCCCACAAUUUGUUAUGUACAAACUGGUCCAAACAAAGGAAGACCUAUCUGUUCUUAUUGUAAUCGUGUGGGACACAUUGCAGAGAGAUGCUAUAAAAAGCAUGGAUUUCCCCUGGUUUUACACCUAAGGGUAGAGUUUUUGAUAAGUUUGGUGCAGGUAAACCAAAGCCUAUUGCUGCUCAAGUGACUUUGGCUACUCCACCAGAUGAAGAAUCUCAGAAUGUGGAAAGUAUGAUUGGAAAUUUAAGCAAAGAUCAGAUUCAGCAGUUUAUUGCACUCUUCAGUUCUCAGUUACAGACUCAUGCAGUUGCUACUGGAUCAAAUGAAGCUAGCUCAUCUAAAUCUGAUUACACUAGUAUUUCUUUCUCUCCUUCUACCUACUGUUUUGUUGGCAUUUUGACAGUCUCCAAGACUACUAUUUCUCCACAGACUUGGGUUAUAGACUCAGGAGCAACUCAUCAUGUUGCUCAUGAUAGAAGCUUAUUCUUGAAUAUUGAUACUUCUGUUAUGAGUUGUGUGAAUUUGCCAGCAGGUCCAACAGUUAAGAUCAGUGGUGUUGGCACAAUUAGGAUUAAUGCUCAUAUCCUUCUACAGAAUGUGCUAUUCAUUCCAGAAUUCAGAUUGAACUUGAUCAGUAUCAGUUCUUUGAUUAGUGAUCUUGGUUUCAGAGUUAUAUUUGAUCAUAAUUCUUGUGAAAUCCAGGAUCUUACCAAGGAGUUAACAAUUGGAAAAGGUAGGAGGGUGGCAAAUCUAUACGUAUUGGAUGUUGAAGAAUCUGAAGUCUCAAUUAAUGCAGUCUUUGAUGUUAGUAUGUGGCACCAGAGAUUAGGCCAUCCUUCAUAUAGCAGAUUGGAUGUUCUUUCUCAAUCUCUAGGCACUACUAGACAUAAGAAUAAAGGCUCAGCAUACUGUCAUGUGUGUCAUUUAGCCAAACAGAAGAAGUUAUCUUAUAUUUCCCCCAAUAACAUUUGUAAUUCAAACUUUGAGUUAUUACAUAUUGAUAUUUGGGGUCCUUUCUCUGUUGAAUCAGUUGAUGGAUUUCGUUAUUUUCUGACUAUAGUUGAUGAUCAUUCAAGAGCCACUUGGGUUUAUUUGUUGAGAAAUAAAGCAGAGGUUCUCACAGUAUUUCCAGGAUUUUUGAACUUGAUAGAGAAUCAGUAUAAUGUCAGAGUUAAGGCAGUGAGAUCAGAUAAUGCACCUGAGCUGAAAUUCACCAGAUUUUAUCAAGAAAAAGGAAUUCAGUCUUUUCACUCUUGUCCUGAAACACCAGAACAGAAUUCAGUGGUAGAGCGUAAGCACCAGCAUAUUCUUAAUGUGGCUCGUGCGUUGAUGUUUCAGUCUAAACUUCCUCUACAGUAUUGGAGUGAUUCAAUUUUAACUGCUGUGUUCCUCAUCAAUAGGACACCUUCUCAGCUACUUUUGAAUAAGACUCCAUAUGAAGUUUUGACUGGCACUACACCGGUUUAUGAUCAACUCAGGACUUUCGGUUGUUUGUGUUAUUGCUCAACUUCUCCACAACAGAGACAUAAGUUUCAGCCUCGUUCUAAAGCAUGUCUGUUCUUGGGAUACCCUGCAGGUUAUAAGGGAUACAAGUUACUGGAUUUAGAGACUAAUAAAAUUUCUAUUUCCAGGAAUGUUGUAUUUCAUGAAGAGAUUUUCCCAUUGGCUAAAGAUCCGGAUAAUGAUGAAGCUUUGAAGUUCUUUACAUCGACAGAUUCUGUGCCUCCAGGUAACAUCGAUCCAUCAUUUUUCCCUCCAUCACAAAUUUCUGAUCUACCAUUACAAAUUUCUUCUAAAAGAGCUAAGAAAUCUCCAGCUCAUCUUCACGACUAUCAUUGUUAUUCAAUAAACUCUGAUAUUCAACACCCUAUUUCUUCUUCCAUUUCAUAUUCAAACAUUUCACCCUCUCAUCUCUCAUAUAUCAACAAUAUCACCAAAAUUCCUAUUCCUACUACUUUUAAAGAGGCACAUGAAUCUGAAGAAUGGUGUAAAGCGGUUGAUGCAGAGAUUGGUGCAAUGGAAUCUACAGAUACAUGGGAGAUUACAACUUUACCUCCAAGAAAGAAGCCUGUUGGUUGUAAGUGGGUGUUUACUCUGAAGUUUCUUGCAGAUGGCAGUCUAGAGAGAUAUAAGGCUCGUCUUGUUGCAAAGGGGUAUACUCAGAAAGAAGGAGUUGAUUAUACUGAGACGUUUUCCCCUGUUGCUAAGAUGGCUACUAUUAAGUUGUUACUCAAAGUGUCUGCAAGCAAGAAGUGGAUAUUAACACAACUUGAUAUAUCAAAUGCGUUUCUUAAUGGUGAAUUGGAGGAGGAGAUAUUCAUGAAACUUCCUGAAGGUUAUGCAGCCAGAAAAGGUAUUUCUUUACCUCCUAAUGCUGUUUGUAAACUUAAAAGAUCCAUUUAUAGACUUAAACAGGCAUCUAGGCAAUGGUUUAAGAAAUUUUCCACCUCAUUGAUGAAUAUGGGUUUUCUAAAAGGUCAUGGGGAUCACACUUUGUUUGUGAAAUGCUAUGGAGAUGAUUUUGUUGCAGUUCUAGAAUAUGUUGAUGAUAUAGUCAUAGCUAGCACUGCAGAUCAUUUGGCUACUCUGGUAACUCAAGGAUUACAGAGUCAGUUUAAAUUGAGAGAUUUGGGACCUCUGAAGUAUUUUUUGGGAUUGGAAAUUGCUCGUACAUCUGAAGGUAUUUCUCUUUGCCAAAGAAAGUAUGCUUUGGAGUUGCUUUCAGCUACUGGUAUGUUGGGAUGCAAGCCAACUUCAGUUCCUAUGAUUCCUAAUGUCAAGUUACAGAAAGCGGAUGGUAUAUUAUUGGAGGAUAAAGAAGAAUAUCGCUGAAUUGUUGGAAAGUUGAUGUAUCUGACUAUUACUAAGCCAGACAUCACUUUUGUAGUGAAUAAAUUGUGUCAAUUUACUUCAGCUCCACGCACCACUCAUCUUGCGGCUGUUGUGGAUGUCGGAUUCACACACUCAAGUAUUUUAUUAAGUAGGAAAGAUUAUUCUUGAGGGACAAAAAUGAAUAGGUAAAAACUUCUAAAUUGCUACGAAAAUUGCUAUAGUAUUUCUUUCUUGAGAGGAAGAUCCCCUUACAUGGCCAUUGGCCUUUAUAUUUAUACAUAGAGAAUCGUCAUUAAAAUGAAUAAUUAAGUACAAUUAUUCCCUCUUAAAUGUGUCCGUUUAGAUUCUUCGCCUUUAAUGCCCAACGUUUGAAUUUGAGUUGACUCUGAUCUCCAUGGGCCUCGCCCUUUCUGGCCCAAGUGUCCUUGAACCGACUUACCCAUGUCUUCUACAUCGAACUCGUGUCACAGUGCAGCCACUUCGAACUCUCGAAGUGGUGAUAACCACUUCGACCGUUCCUUCGGCUCAUGGGUUCAAUGGGCUUUGUCCUUUAUGGGCCAUUAUCUUGACUACGUGGCAAUCUUUGGUUGGUCCCGGACUUCUGGUGCGGGAUCCGACACCAACAAUUAGCCCCCCAAGUUCUUCGAAGUGCUAUUUCAAUUCGGAGGACUUUAAAUGCUCAAGUGGCCAAAGAUUGCGCUCGAGAAUCUUUCUGAUUUCCCGCCGAAAAUCUCAUCACCCCUUUAAUUUCGGCACUAGCCUUUUUUAACUGAGUGACAUCUGUCAUCAUUAUGACCGUAUAUUGAUUAAUUACUAUUAAAACGGGAAAAAACCUUCCCACUUCCCACGCAACUUCCGAGGCGGUUUCAUCAUUAGCUUGAGGUAACUUCUUUUCACCAUUAUUCUCUUCUUUUACUUUUGUGCUUUAAUCAAAACCUCUCUCUACUUUUCUUCACAAAAAACCUCUCUUCGCCGGAUCUUGAAUUUUUCAUUUUUCUCCGAUGACUUCCGAUUCCGAGAGACCUGAAUCUCCUUCUUACGAUGAGAGGCGUUCUAGUAAUGAUGAAUGCACUCGUCCUAAUGAUAUUGCCGGUCCUCAUUACAAAUCCACCUGCACUCUUCAGUCCCUUGAGCGAUUAAAGGGGCUCUGUCAAAUUCCUCCUGGAAUCAUAGCGGAGGCGCAAAUAGCCGACCCCACGGAAUCCCCGGAGAACCACCGUGUCGGCUACUUUUGUGUUUACGAAAUUUACUUCAAGGGCUGCGGAUUGACCUUCCCCCUUCCCGAAGCCCUAGUUCGAUUCUUGGCGGCUCUCGAGAUUGCCUUACCUCAAUUAACCCCCAAUCUCCUCCGAACCAUCCUCGGGAUUAUAACCGUUGCGGCGGAGGCUGGCUGCGUCAUUGGAGUCCCCGAGCUGAAUGAACUUCUAAGUGUGAGAAGUUCGUCAAAGAAAACAGGAUACUUUUUGGCAUACCCAAAUGCCAAUAGAAACGUCAUUUCGCACCUCCCGAACAAGGAUGAAAACUGGCACCAUCCUUGGUUUCUGAUUAAGAAAACUCCUGCUUCGAUUGGGAAUCUUUCCGAUGUACUUCCAUCGAAGUGGUCUACGAAACCUGGUAGAGACUAGGUCGUAUAUUCCUUUCCUGUUCAUUAUUAUUUCUUUACUGACCAAAUUCGUUGUUUCAUUUCGCAGCUCUCAUCGCUCCAACUCUCCCGACUGAAGAAUUUGUCAAGUUCUUCAAAACACUCCUUGAAGGGGAAACCCUUUGGAAUUCUUUCACCCUCGAUCGGUUUAUCGAGGCCAACCGAAAACUCAGGAUGAGUCCUCCCAAUCUACUUCAUCGUCUUCCGCCUCCUCCCUCGACUCAGGGAAUGUCAGCUCGGGCCCUCGUUGCCCAGCAUAAGAAACUCUCCAAGCCGAUAGCAGAGGCUUGUGAUGAAAACAAGGCGUUCCUUGCGGCCGCCAUCGACAAAAAAGAUUACAGCAGGACCCUGCUGGUUGAUGACAACAGCUCCGAGGGAGCCAGAUCCGUUGCUGCUUAUAGGUUAACACCUCGUCGCGAACGCCGCGACGAAUGUUCUCCUCGGAGAGAACGGUCUCCCCGUCGUGAUUCUCCUCGUCCUUCCCGAGACGAUUUGAGCAACGAACCACUUAAGAAUUUGGUUCGUAAGAAGAGGGACAAGUCGUCCCGUGAUGACUCGUCUCCGCGAAGGGAGAAAUCAAGGGCCCGGACUGACCGUUCACCUCGAUCAUCCCCUCCUACUGAACCAAUGGGUCCUCCACGACCUGUUGACAUGUCUUCUUCUUCCCACCCCGUCAGCGAAAAGACUGCUCGGAGUGCAUCCCCUAAAAGGGGAGAUUCUGAAUCUCGAGAUGCUUCCUCGAGGUUGAAGCCUGCUCUUAUCCCUCAAGUCAAAUCGCUUUCAGGUUUGGUGACUUACACAUACUCAAACUUUUCGUCUCUAUUAAAAUUCCAAUUUUUACAACUCUUCCUUCUUCGCAGCUAUGGAGAAAGAAGGCAGCGUCUUCCGAUGCUUCAAGACCCGAUCGGGUUCGACCUUGCCAGACUUCAACAAAUGGCGCCCUGCGAUUCGUGAACGCUAUUUGCUUCACGCUUAUCAUUCAUCUCGGGUUAAUUCCGUUUUUUUUUUUUUUUUUUUGUUGUUAUUUUUUUUUUAUGUAUUGCCAUUCUUCAAGCUGACUCGCCAUCCCGGGUUUAUAAUGCCAGGCUCAUAGCGAACUUAACGAUAUGAUCGAACAUUACGAAGGGUUGGUCAUUGGACGGGAGAAGGAGAUUGACAUGUGGAAGAAGAAAUUCUCAGCCCUUGAGGCUGAACUCAAUUCUUCUGCUGGCUCCAAGCACGAUCUGGAGGACAAGGUUGACAGUUUAACAUCCGAGCUGGCGCAGGUAAAGGGGGAGCUGCAAGACCAGUAUGACCGGAAUUACAAACUCCAGGAUGAACUUUCUGGUGUUCAGGGUAGACUUCAUGAAUCCGAAUCAACCGCCGAUACCCUGAACAACCAAUUUAUCGAGCUUGACGCGAAGUACAAGGCGCUGGCCAAGUUGCGUGAUUCCGAGUUAGCAAGGUCGGCAUCGAAGGCCAGAAAGGAGGUUAAGGGACGCGGGAUGGAAUUGAUCCAAGGGGCCAUUCGCUUCAUGCAAACCGAGAAGGCUACGUCGGACUUGGAGUCAGACAUCAAGGAGCAUGAAAGCAACCUGAUUCUGCUGGAUCAAAUCCAUGAAGCAGAUUUCUCCGAGGAGCAAGAAAGGACCGAGCUGUGAACUAACCUUUCUGAAAAACGGAGUCGCUUGGCAGCUCUUCCCACUUCGACCUUCAACCCGCUUGACUUCGAGGAAUUCUUUACUGAAUCACCUCCUAUAAGUGAAUCGGGUUUAGACUGGGCAGGUAACGCUUGGCUCCUAACGCUUACCUUUUCUUACCUUGUACCUUUGAUUGACUGGAAUUAUUAUUUCUAGGCUCAAGUGAAACGGAAGGCGUUGUCCCGCCCGUAGCUCCUAUGGUACCGGAGGUCACUCCGGAGGUUGGUUGUACCGCGGAGGGUGGUCAGGGAGCUUCAUCUGAUCAAGCUGAGCCGGGAUCUGAGGUGGAGGUCAAUCCGUAGUGGCUGUGUCCACUUUAAACUGGGAAUUGUCCCAUUUAGUUUAAACUCAAUUUCGAACUUGUUUUUUGGCCUAAGGAGGCUUUAUAAUUUCUUUUGAACAAGAUAUUUGCCUGAGGAGGCUUUUAAACCUUUCUAGGUUACGACCCAAGGGGGUUUGGUUAAAACUAUAUGCGGGUUUGCAAAGUCCGCUUUUAACCUUUUGUGGCCUUGUGGCUAUGCUUUCGAGAUUUUUAGGCUGAUCAGACCUUUCUCUUUAGAUUGCGAGAGCUGAGCUCGGCUUAAAGCGAGUUCCCCACUUCGGGUUUAGUCAACUCGAUGAAUUUAUUGGGCUUGGGCCUUAGAAACUUUUGUAGUUAAUGCGACGGUUGCUCUUUCCCUUCUUAUAAGUAAGGAAAACGGCUCGUCUUUUAAUGCAAUAACUGCCUUUUCUCGAUUUUCCAAAAAUGGUUUAAACCACUCGGACACUCUACCAUUAAUGGAUUUAUGGUUCCAAGACAAACCCUAAAUCAUUAUAAAUAAAGGCUUACCUACCUCCAAGCUUUAUUUAACUACGUUUUUUUUAGAGUCUUACUUGAGUAAUUUGCGAGAAUGGAAAACGAAAAAGUAGCCCCCAUUGAUCCCGGCAGCCCACUCUUCUUGUCCGGCGACGGCUUUGAACCGGCCGGCGUUCUCUUCCCUCACGCCGUCUUUCACUUUCCCUCAAAGGAGAAGAAAGAGGCUUGCGAUUUUAUUGACAAGGUAAAAGUUUUUUGAUUCAAAAACUUUUUGUUUCAUCUUAUUCACUCAUCUUUUAUGCUAGGUCGCCGACAAGCACCGUCGCUUGUGUGAAGAGAGGCAGCGGCUGGGCCUCAAAAGGCAAACACUCGAGGCUCGCAUUGCUUGGGUGGAGAGGAAGAUACGGGCCUUGGAAAGUGAUCCCUUUCAAUGGGAGUGGCGGAACUUCGACUCCGUCGCUGAGAUCCCGAAGAUGCUUCGGAUGUAUCUCCGCGCUAAAGGAGUCCCGGGUCUCGUGAACGCCCCCGUCUGCGCCGUUCCAUCUGACAGCGAAGAAGAAGACGAAGAGGAAGCCAGCACCUGUCGGAAACGCGUUCGGGAUCAUCCCGAAGUGGAUGCCAAGAACAAGGCGUCCACUUCGAAGACUAAACCGGCGAUGAAGGAGCCUGUUCCUGAGCCUCUUCCAUAAAUGUCCCCUAACUUCUUUACUUACUUUAAACUCGUAAUGGGCUUCGGCCCCUUUUUUAUUUAUGGAAAUAUUUGCAACUUUCCUUUCUUUUCAAAUAUUCUCGGAGAUGCGUCUUUUAAUGCAGGAUCUGUUCGAGGGAAUAAAUCUCUCCGCGAAUCACUCCAUUCUUUGGAUAGAAUCCGCAGCUUGCUAAGGAUAUGGGGUUCCUAUAAAUAAUAGUUUCAAUUUCACUUUACUCCUCACGAUUCUUUUUAUUUUAGUAGGUAUGGAGUUCAAUCUUCGCUGUUCAGAAUCCAUGCCUGACUUCUCCAGAAUCGGAAUGAUGAGCGGAGAUGUUCCAAAUGAGCCAAACAGGCAACCUCCUCCACCUCGCGGCUUCUUAAGAUCUCAGAUCCGAGCCCCAUGUGCUUUGAUCAGGGAUCUCCCAAUCAGAGACCAAGGAACAGCAACGGCGUUCAUAGAGGCACUGGAGCUUCAACACCGGAAGCUUAUGUCGGAAAAGAGGAGACUCCGGAAGAAGAUUAACCGGAUGCAACGCAGGCUUACUACGGUGUCAAGAGAUCUUCACGUCCUUGAAUCUCACCCCGGAGAGUGGAUUGAGCUUGGAAUUUCUGACUUUGCUCGAAUUCCGGACUGCAUGAUGCCGAUCCUCGAUCUUGCUGGUCAAGGAGUUGAAGUGUUCUGCUCGUCAACAAGAUUUUCAUAAUCCGAAGUGUACGAUGAGGGACAUUCCAUUUUUUGAAUAAACGUUCUAUUUCCAAUUUCUUGUAUGUUCGCUUAGUCGAACCUUCUAUAUGCUUCACUUGUUCGCACAGUCGAACCUUUUUCCUUUAAUAAAGAAAUAAAACAAAUUUUUAUUAAUAGCUGAACUCGUUUCCGAGCUGCCUACGUACCCAUUUCGGGAUCAAGCCACACCGUAGUUCAUGUACAAAAACAAUGUAUGUAGCUUUAAACAUAAAACUUCUUUAGGUUGAUCACAUUCCAAGGUCGCUUGACUGGAUUGUCUUCUAAGUCUUUCAACCUAUAAACACCGUUCCGAACCACUUCGGUAAUAAUGUAAGGUCCUUCCCAAUUAAUACCGAGUUUACCGGCACCUUCUUCUUUUUUGUUGUCAAAGACGCGCCUUAAUACAUAAUCUCCCACGAAGAAAGGCCUACUUUUAACCUUAGAAUUGUAAUACCGGGCUGCUGCCUGCUGGUAAUUCUGGAUCCGAAUUAGAGCUUGAUCACGCCUUUCAUUUAUGGUAUCUAGUGAAUCAUUAAGCAUUGCUGAAUUUUCUUCCUCAUUUAACGGUGCUUCUGUUCGGCGUAGUCCGGGCACAUUGAGUUCUGCUGGUACUACCGCCUCCAUGCCGUAAACCAAAGAGAAUGGAGUUUCUCCUGUAGGUCGCCUAGGGGUUGUACGAUAGGCCCACAGGACGGGUUGGAGUUCUUCAUACCAUCCUCCCUUUAGAUGACUUAAGCGCUUCUUGAGGUUGCUUAAUAUUGUCUUGUUCGCGGCUUCAGCUUGACCGUUUCCUUGCGGAUAUCGUGGAGUAGAAUAACUAACUUUAAUUCCCCAGUCCGCACAAAAGGCAUCAAACUCGUGUGAAAUGAAUUGCGGUCCAUUAUCAGUGACUAUUUCGUAUGGAACUCCAUGUCGACAUAUAAUGUUUUUCCAAAUAAAGGUCUUCACCGCCGAAUCCUUGAUACUAACAUACGCCUCAGCUUCAAUCCAUUUUGAAAAGUAGUUCGUAAGGACUAAAAGGUACUGUACACCUUGAGUUGAUUUGUGUAAUGGUCCAAUGAUGUCCAUUGACCACCUCAUAAACGGGUAUGGGGCGGAAAUGGAGGAGAACAAUUCCGACGGUUGAUGGAUCAAUGGUGCAUGGAGUUGGCAGCGCUUGCAUCUUUGGGCGAACUUAACAUAAUCUGUGAUCAUAGUGGGCCAAUAAUACCCCAUUCUUUUAACUUUAAAAGCCAUAGCUCUUCCUGAUGAAUGACUCCCACAUAAUCCUUCAUGCACUUCGCUCAUGAUGAUUUCGACUUCGGGCCCAAAAAUGCAUAAUAGAUAAGGGUCACUGACACCUCGUCUAUAUAACGCAUCCUUUGACAGACAAAAUUUUGCGCUAACGACUUUCACUUUCCUGGCCUGCCAUUUAUUCUUUGGGAGCUCACCUGUCGUGAUGUAGUGCUUUAUUGGCUCCCUCCAGUUAGCCCCCCAGUCUUUAGCCGGAAUUUGGUCAACUUUGUGAAAUAUUCGUGGCUCUGGUUCGGGAUGCUCGUUUGGUUCAAGAACAUCCUCCUCGAUUAACGGUUCGGUUUCUAAUAUUGUUUCUGGAAUCACAUCUUCAGCUAAGACAACGGGUUCCUUGUUAGAUGUAUUUGAUCCCCUUGACUUCCUCCGUUUGUUGGGUGGCGGUUCGAUCUCUGGUUCGCCACGGUCGCGUGCCGCUGCUCGAGACCUUGUAACGACGAGGGUUUCUUUGCUGUCUUGAAUGCUUCGCUCCGAAAUGCAUUCCACUGGAAUAACUCUUUUCAACUCAGGAUCUGAUGUUGACGCUAAUGCGGCAAGUGCAUCCGCAGUUGUAUUCUCUCCUCGAGGUAUGCGGAUUAAUUCAAAUUUUGAGAAAUUUUUAGAUAGAUCCUUCACCACUUCGAGGUACGCUUCCAUUCUUGAGUCUUUGGCUUCAUAGUCCCCAUUAAACUGGUUAACUACUAAUUGCGAAUCGCAAUAAGCCAAUAUUUCCUUAGCUCCAAUUCCUUGUGCUAAUCGAAGUCCGGCAAUUAGGGCUUCGUAUUCUGCCUCGUUGUUGGAGGCAUUGAAUAACAACCGGAAUGAUUGCUCUAGAACUUCUGAUGUUGGAGAUUCCAACUUGAUUCCCACUCCGGAUCCUUGCUUUGUUGAAGACCCAUCUACGUGUAACUUCCAAGUUUGGUUCUCCGAAUGCUCUAUUGUUCCAGGUAUUGGUAGCUCGGUUAAGAAAUCUGCUAGAACCUGAGCUUUCAUACUGAUCCGGCUUUUGAAUUCUAUAUCGUACUCGCUUAACUCCACCGCCCAUUUCGCCAAACGUCCGGACUGACUUGGACUAUGAAGUAUUGUUCGGAGUGGUUGGUUAGUUAAUACUUCAACCGGAUGGGAUUGAAAAUAUGGACGCAGCUUCCGAGCCGAAGUUACCACCGCGAGUGCAAGUUUUUCCAUCAUUGUAUAUCUGGUUUCCGGAUCCGUCAUUGACUUGCUCACGUAGUAAAUUGGUUUCUGCUCCCCACGGUCUUCCCGAACCAAGACUCCACUAACCGCGUGGUUUGAAACCGAUACGUAUAAAUAAAGUUUUUCAUCCACUUCCGGUUUGGACAAUAUAGGUGGAGUGGUUAAGUAUGCCGUAAGCUGCCCAAAAGCUUCUUCACACUUCUCAUCCCAAAGGAAUCCUUUGUUCCCUUUUAGAAUUUGGUAGAAAGGUAACGACUUAUCUGUUGAUCUCGAGAUAAAACGAUUCAAAGCCGCAAUCCGCCCCGUCAACCGUUGUACUUCUUUGAAGUUUCUUGGAGACGGCAUGUUUAGAAAGGCGUUAAUUUGAUUUGGAUUGGCUUCAAUCCCUCUUUCUGUCACGAUAUAGCCAAGAAAUUCUCCAGAUGGGACUCCAAAUGUGCACUUCGCCGGGUUCAGCUUCAUUUGAUAUUUAUUGAGAAUAUCAAAACAUUCCUCCAAAUGCUUCAUUUGAUCUUCUUUCUUAAACGAUUUAACCAACAUAUCAUCUAUGUAGACUUCCAUUGUCUUCCCGAGAUGAUUAUGGAACAUCUUGUUAACCAACCGUUGAUAAGUUGCUCCUGCAUUUUUCAAACCAAAAGGCAUCACUUUAUAACAAUAGAUACCUCUAUCUGUGAUAAAUGACGUCUUUUCUUGAUCUUCCGGGUUCAUUACUAUUUGAUUGUAACCCGAGAAGGCGUCCAUGAAUGUUAAUAACUCGUUCCCAGCGGUGGACUCUACAAGUCGAUCUAUAAGUGGGAGUGGGAAACUAUCUUUGGGACAUGCUUUAUUUAGGUCUGUGAAAUCGAUGCAAACCCUAUCUUUCCCAUUCUUCUUUUUGACAACGACAGUGUUUGCUAUCCAUUCCGGGUAUUGCACUUCUUUUAUGGAUCCUAUCUUCAAAAGUUUAUCUACUUCGUCAUUUACUAUUUUGGCUCGCUCCACUCCGAGCUUUCUUCUUUUCUGUUUCACCGUCUUGAAGCUCGGAUCUACGUUUAGCUCGUGACAAAUUAUACUUGGAUCUAUACCAGGCAUGUCUGCUGCUGACCAUGCAAACGAUGUUUUGUUUCUCUUUAAAAGUUCGACCAAAGCUUCUUUUAUCUGGCCAGUCAGAGUUGCUCCAAUUCGAAUUUUCCGGUCCGGCUUGUCUUCUUCCAACACCACUUCGAUUACUACAUCAUCUUUCUUCUGCCCGCUAGGAAAUUUUGUUCUUAGUCCCUCUUUUGCGGGCUUCGUUAAUUGCUAUUGAAUCUUCAUACGGUGGCUAGCUAGGUAACACGUCCGUGAAGCUUCUUGAUCUCCCCGAAUUGUUUCCACCCCAUUUGAUGUUGGAAAUUUGAUACAUUGAUGGUAUGUAGAGGGGACUGCUUUCAUUCGAUAAAUCCAGGGAGUCCCAAGGAUGAUGUUGUAAGCUGCGGGCUUAUCGAAGACAACGAAGUCCACGAUCUUCGAUACCUUCUUGGCAAGGACCGGUAGCUUGAUUGUUCCGAGAGACAUGGCUGACUCGCUUGUGAACGCAACUAACGGAGAUGGGGGUCCUACUAUGUCUCCUCGGCUGAUUCCCAUUCUUUCUAGAGUACUUAAAAAGAUCAAAUCGACCGAACUGCCUGUAUCUAUAAGGAGCCUUGAUACUUCGAAGUUGGCAACGUCAAGGGUAAUGACUAGAGCAUCAUCAUGCGGUCUUUCGAGGUACCGCGUUUCUUCUUCAUUAAAUGAUAUCGAUGCACCUUGAAAAUCGACUUCCUCGCUUAAGCUUGCUUUGAGUAGGAUAUUUCGUCUAUGUUUUUUGAUGGAACUUAUCGAAUCUCCGCAAAAUUUUGAGCCUCCUAGGAUCACAUUGAUCUUACCCUUCGAACUCCUUGGUUCUUCCCCGUUGGAUAACCUUGGUCUUUUGGAAUCUUGAUCUUUGGAGUUUUCCUUUGUUUCGUGGUAUUCCUUCACAAAAUCUUUUAUAUCGAAUUUGGAAAGAUCUCCACUGGCCCAAAGCUCUGCGAGGUGCUUUUUAAGAACGCUGCAAUCCUUGGUUAAAUGUCCGGUUACUUUAUGAAUAUCGCAAUAUAGACUUUCAUCACGGACCCAAGUGUUUGAUCUUCCUUUCCCUUGGAAUUGCUUUCCGACGGUACUGUUGAAGGGUUGCGACCCAAAUUUCCUUGGUCCUUUGCUCUCCCUAGGCUCGAACUUCUUGGUAGGGACGGUGAUUACCGGCUUUUCUUGUUUAUUCCUUUUGGCAAAACUUUCUUUUUCGUCCUCUACCUCCAUCCAGUUGUUCGCGCGAAAGAGUGCAUCCUGAAUUGUGUCUGGUUUAUGAAGUAUUAAGUCUUCUUUAAACCUUGAAUCAUGUCGCAAUCCUUUUCGUAGGGCAGAUAAAGCUGAUUGCUGCGAGAUUCUUGGGAGCUUUGACAGCACUCCUUUGAAUUUUGUGAUGAAAACUCGAAGUGACUCAUUAGAUCCUUGCGAUAAGUUCCAAAGAUCGGCAUCCGAAACGCUUUUAUCCAUAAGGAUGGAGUAUUGCUUUAAGAAUACGGCUGACAGUUCGUCGAAAUUGCUGAUCGAACCCGGCUCUAAUUGGGUGAACCACAUUAGAGCUUGGCCACAUAGAUUCUCCGAAAAAAGCUUGCAGUAGCCUGCGUCCUCAUCAGCUUCAUCUAAUUCGACUCUUCCAGCAGCGAUCAGAAAAGCUGCGAGAUAGCUUUUUGGAUCCUCCAAUCCGCUGUAAGGGUCCAACUUGAGUUUCCGGGAAUCUUUGAUCCUCAAACUUGCAAUUCGUGAGAUGAAAGGUGUUCGCCUAGCCUCUUCAAUGACUCGAUUGAUGUCUGGCUCCGAACUUGUAGCUUGAUGAAAUUUUGAUUUCAUUUCUUUUAAUUCAUGGCUAACCUUCCUCAUGGUCUCGAACUGGUCGAGGUUCUCUUGCUCGUAUUGAGCUGCAAGUUGUUCUUCAUCUCCGAGCUGUGUCUCUUCUUCCAACGUCUGAGCUACAUUAUUAGUAGCACCAGGAGUUGUUUGUCCGCUGGUUUCAUUUCGUGCAGCGGAACUUGGCGAGUUGAAUAUCCCUCUUCGGAUUCCCACAAGGUUUCCUGCACUUAAAGAGCGAACACGAGUUUGUAUAGUAUUGACGUUUUGACUAAGAGAUACCUGGGAUGUUUGCAACGUAUCGGCGGCCUUUUCCACAUCCGAGAACUUUUGUGAUAUGUCCGACAUGGUUUGCUGCAUAGCUUUGAGGGUUUCAGCCAAUGAUGUCUCAACGGUGUCUCCUCCGGACAUUGUUGCUUAUCUCGGAAGUGUAGUAAAGAAAAAAUCUGACCACUCAAGAAUCCUAAUUCUCCCCACAGACGGCGCCAAAAUGUGGAUGUCGGAUUCACACACUCAAGUAUUUUAUUAAGUAGGAAAGAUUAUUCUUGAGGGACAAAAAUGAAUAGGUAAAAACUUCUAAAUUGCUACGAAAAUUGUUAUAGUAUUUCUUUCUUGAGAGGAAGAUCCCCUUACAUGGCCAUUGGCCUUUAUAUUUAUACAUAGAGAAUCGUCAUUAAAAUGAAUAAUUAAGUACAAUUAUUCCCUCUUAAAUGUGUCCGUUUUGAUUCUUCGCCUUUAAUGCCCAACGUUUGAAUUUGAGUUGACUCUGAUCUCCAUGGGCCUCGCCCUUUCUGGCCCAAGUGUCCUUGAACCGACUUACCCAUGUCUUCUACAUCGAACUCGUGUCACAGUGCAGCCACUUCGAACUCUCGAAGUGGUGAUAACCACUUCGAACUCUCGAAGUGGUGAUAACCACUUCGACCGUUCCUUCGGCUCAUGGGUUCAAUGGGCUUUGUCCUUUAUGGGCCAUUAUCUUGACUACGUGGUAAUCUUUGGUUGGUCCCGGACUUCUAGUGCGGGAUCCGACACCAACAGCUGUGUAUCGUGUCCUGCAGUACAUAAAAGGCACGGUUGGACAAGGGUUGUUCUAUUCUGCAACAUCAGACCUUACAUUGAAAGGUUUUGCUGACUCUGAUUGGGCAUCCUGUUCUGAUAGCCGCAAGUCUACUACUGGUUUUACCAUGUUUGUAGGUGAUUCUUUGAUUUCUUGGAGAUCUAAGAAGCAACCUAUUGUUUCACGUUCUUCUGCGGAGGCAGAGUAUAGAGCUUUGGCACUUGCAACCAGUGAAUUGAUUUGGUUACACAGAUUACUUCAAGACUUACGGGUUACUUUUGUCACUGUUCCAAUACUGUUUUCAGAUAGCACUGCCGCCAUCUAUAUAGCCACUAAUCCAGUCUUCCAUGAAAGAACGAAGCAUAUAGAGAUUGAUUGCCAUACGGUUCGAGAGAGAUUGGAUAAUGGCACACUAAAGCUAUUACAUGUUCACACGGAGGAUCAGGUUGCUGAUAUACUCACUAAGCCCUUGUUUCCUCACCAAUUUGAGCACCUUAAAUCCAAGAUGAGCAUUUUGAACAUUUUUGAAUGCACAUCUUGAGGGGGACUAUUGGAGUGUGGUUAUCCCCGGUUUAGUUUAAUUUAUCUUGGUUAUGUUAACCGAGAUUGUAUAGCUUUAGUAUACUUGUAUAAAUACUAUGUACAGAUACAUUUUACAAUCUAAUGAGAAAUAAACAUUCAUAACAAACUUUCUCAUCUUCUUCUCUCUCAAGUAAUAGGUGUUGUCAAAUACUCUGAACAAAACCCAUUUUACAUAUAUAUUCGAAACAAUUAUAAAAGGAUUCAAGCAACUGGAUAGUAAGCACGGUGGGCCAAACCACACAUUCCUUGAGGUUCAUCCACGUCUCUCUUGAUUCUCAUGUAACCAUUCUCUCCCCAAGAUUCUCCCCAUGAGUUCUUCAGCAACCAAUACUUAAUCCCUUCUUCACUCGUACCAUAACCAACAAUCGUAACAGCGUGAUGCGAAUCCGUCCCACAGUACUCAUCCUCGAAUAUCCCGCUGGAGUAGUGCUUAAAGUUAGCCCCUGACCCAACUAUCCCAACAGAGAAACUGGCUGUUGAGACACCGCUUUUAGCAAUGCUUCCUCAUCAUCUUUUGGAACCGCCUCGUAUCCGCUGAUGGUAGCAGCAGCUGGAUCAGUUGACUUACAGGUUUGUUGUACUGCCUGGUAGGGAUAGUUUUCCUCACUGGUGAUUCCUUGGUUUUCUUUUAUGUAGUCGUAAGCUGUCAAAGCUAACCCUCCGUCACAUCCCAUGUUGUUGUUGGCUGUGCUGCAAUCCACUAGUUGCUGCUCAGACAGCGAUACAAGCUCUCCAUUCGCAAUCUUUGUUACCCCUUCCACAGCCGCCACCGCCGCAAAAGCCCAACAACAUCCUGUUUCAUUUCAAUAAAUUUUAUUUUUAGUGUAGUAGUAUAUUUCAUAUAUUUGAUAGUCAUUUAUCUGCAACAACAAUCAUAAAAUUUUUUGGCACCUCUAAUUAUAGCUAAAAUACCAUUUUUGCAUUCUUUGAAAUGUGUCAUUAACACAAAGUAGAGUUAACAAUGAAUAGAAUAUAUGCAUAAUUUAAUUUAAUUACCACAUUGGCCUUGGUCCUUAACGGGUGUAACGGCCCCUUCCAGUCUCCAAUCCAUGCUCUCACCGGUUUCACUGACAUUUUCAUAUCUAAACGACACCGUUUUCUGGGAAUCUCCGGUCAUACCUUCCGGCACCAGCCCCAUGUACCUCGCCUGAAAUUCCUCGUCGGUAAGAUCAGAGAACUUGUUGACAUCCAACUUGUACGUAUUGUUCGUAUUCAUGUUGAAGCUCUCAACGAACUUUAAGUUCUUCUUAAAGAUCUCGAACCUACUCGUUUUCUCAGAAUCGUCCGAGUAAACGCGAUUGAAUCGAGACAUCCAUUGCUCAUGUUUUUCAAUAGCAGAAGCUUCAAAGAGCCCCCCCACGAGAUGUGGCUCCUGAAGUUCUGGAACUCAAAAGAAUGGCUAGAAUCAAGAAAAUGAUCGAAGCCAUUCUCCUAUAGAAAGAAAUGUUUUGAUAGAAGUGUUUAGGUUUAUAUGACUUGGUUGCUAAGAAAGGCGUAUGAGAAGGUGCUAUAUAUUGAGUUGUGAACUGUGAAGUGUGAACUUGGUUGCGUGUUUAAUGUGUUUUCUUUUUAAACUUUGAAUAUUCUACGAGGUUUUGAUAGCUUCCUUGCCAAUUUCUUCCACAUGCUACGACGUCAAGUCAAUGGCGUUAUUUGUUUACUUCUGAGAAGAAAUUAAACCAACAAUGAUUUCGAUGGGUUACCGCAGUUUACAAGCUUUUUGGGGUUCGAACUUUACAUGAACUCAGGCUAAAGGCCAUGACACCAAUCAGUAGCCCACGCACAAUGACUUCCAAAGGAGAAUCAAACCCGAAACCGUAACAAGUUUACGUCAUAAACCAUGUACCUUCAACUAUACGUACAAGUUUAUAUUCUCAAAUAUAUAUACGUAUUUAUUCUUAUAAAAAGAAUCUAAUUGCUUUGUUUAUAGUUGAAGGUAUGGUCCGUUUUAAAUUACUGAUACCACGUUUAAUCAUGUGUAUUCCUAUAUAUGUGUUUCAUGCUUUCCACUUUAAAACUAAAGUAUUCUACUCUUCUACGAAUUUUCAAACAUCAUACUUUCCAUUUUAAAUCUAAACUAAUUUCUCGUUUUUUUUUUUUUUUUUUUUAAUAACUUAUAGUCUCCUUUUAAAUUCUAAAAAUUGUGACGUUAUUAUAGUGACUGAAGCUCAUAGAGCCUAAGACACUCCAAACAAAACCCAAGUUAUACAGUCAGUGCCGUGACAAGCGAAAACCAACUAUACCGGGUCGUAUCAAAAGAUGAAAAGGAAGAAGGAGAACCAUAUAACAAAUUUUACUGUGUUGUUUUUUCCAUAUUUUUUUUAAUAUAAAUAUCACUAUUGCCUCAGAAAUCUGAUCUAAUAUCGAUCUAAAUCGAAGCAUUAGUUUCCAAUAAUAAACCCCUAUGAAGUAUGAAAUAUGAUAGUGACUUUGAAUAUAACCAGAUUACCCGAGAAUAUUUGAAUUGUGGACUCCAAAAUUUUAAGUGAAUUAAUGGAAUUUAGAACGUUUCAGUCAACUUUCACAUCAAUGGAACAUACUUUUUAUUAGAUUCAGUUUAGACUCUUCAAGUUUGAUUGGAGUUAAUAUAGUCGUUAAAUCUUUUUUUUUUUUUUGUAAACCAGUCGUUUAAUCAAAUAUAUAUAUCCCAUAUAUAUAUAACUCGAAUUUGAAACAAUAGGGUUUUGACUUUCUUUCCUCUUCAGUCUUCUGGAUCUUCUUCUCCACCUGAAGUAUCAGUAUAAAAAGAAAUGUUAGAUGAUUAAUAAAAUUGUUACUACUUAGCUUUCUUAAUUUCAUCGCAUAUGCAAAACAUAAAAUAUAGAUGGACCAAAACAUGCACAUGUCACGAAUAGAAGUAGAAAGCUAAUAUGAUCAUUUUCUUUUUAAGGAAAAAAUAGGUUGAGUCACUUUUUGUGUCAUUUCUUUUAUCACAACCUUUGAUAGAAAAGACACAUGCUUGCUAACACUGUUGUUAAUAAGUCUAGCUUAUUAAACAUGUUUUCCUUUGUGCAUUUUUUGCUAAGCUCUAAUUACCAAUACACACUUAAUAAUGCAUUUUAUUAUACCAACGUAAUACAUGCUUCAAACAAACUUCCAAAAUACUUAAAAUACAUUUGACUGCCACAGGUCAAUUAUUCAUAUGGGUGUUGUCAAAUACUCUGAACAAAACCCAUUUUACAUAUAUAUUCGAAACAAUUAUAAAAGGAUUCAUCAAGCUACUGGAUAGUAAGCAAGGCUGGCCAAACCACACAUUCCUUGAG